rnacentral:rRNA from 1 species
GAACCUGAGAGUUUGAUCCUGGCUCAGAACGAACGCUGGCGGCAUGCCUAACACAUGCAAGUCGAACGAAGGCUUCGGCCUUAGUGGCGCACGGGUGAGUAACACGUGGGAACCUGCCUUAUGGUUCGGGAUAACGUCUGGAAACGGACGCUAACACCGGAUGUGCCCUUCGGGGGAAAGUUUACGCCAUGAGAGGGGCCCGCGUCCGAUUAGGUAGUUGGUGGGGUAAUGGCCCACCAAGCCGACGAUCGGUAGCUGGUCUGAGAGGAUGAUCAGCCACACUGGGACUGAGACACGGCCCAGACUCCUACGGGAGGCAGCAGUGGGGAAUAUUGGACAAUGGGGGCAACCCUGAUCCAGCAAUGCCGCGUGAGUGAUGAAGGCCUUAGGGUUGUAAAGCUCUUUCGCACGCGACGAUGAUGACGGUAGCGUGAGAAGAAGCCCCGGCUAACUUCGUGCCAGCAGCCGCGGUAAUACGAAGGGGGCGAGCGUUGUUCGGAAUUACUGGGCGUAAAGGGCGCGUAGGCGGCCUGUUUAGUCAGAAGUGAAAGCCCCGGGCUUAACCUGGGAAC